GGUUAAGCGACUAAGCGUACACGGUGGAUGCCCUGGCAGUCAGAGGCGAUGAAGGACGUGCUAAUCUGCGAAAAGCGUCGGUAAGGUGAUAUGAACCGUUACAGCCGGCGAUGUCCGAAUGGGGAAACCCAGUGCAAUUCGUUGCACUAUCGUUAACUGAAUACAUAGGUUAACGAGGCGAACCGGGGGAACUGAAACAUCUAAGUACCCCGAGGAAAAGAAAUCAACCGAGAUUCCCCCAGUAGCGGCGAGCGAACGGGGAGCAGCCCAGAGUCUGAAUCAGCUUGUGUGUUAGUGGAACGGUCUGGAAAGUCCGACGGUACAGGGUGAUAGUCCCGUACACCAAAAUGCACAGGUUGUGAACUCGAAGAGUAGGGCGGGACACGUGGUAUCCUGUCUGAAUAUGGGGGGACCAUCCUCCAAGGCUAAAUACUCCUGACUGACCGAUAGUGAACCAGUACCGUGAGGGAAAGGCGAAAAGAACCCCGGCGAGGGGAGUGAAAAAGAACCUGAAACCGUGUACGUACAAGCAGUGGGAGCACCUUCGGGUGUGACUGCGUACCUUUUGUAUAAUGGGUCAGCGACUUAUAUUCUGUAGCAAGGUUAACCGUAUAGGGGAGCCGCAGGGAAACCGAGUCUUAACUGGGCGUUAAGUUGCAGGGUAUAGACCCGAAACCCGGUGAUCUAGCCAUGGGCAGGUUGAAGGUUGGGUAACACUAACUGGAGGACCGAACCGACUAAUGUUGAAAAAUUAGCGGAUGACUUGUGGCUGGGGGUGAAAGGCCAAUCAAACCGGGAGAUAGCUGGUUCUCCCCGAAAGCUAUUUAGGUAGCGCCUCGUGAACUCAUCUUCGGGGGUAGAGCACUGUUUCGGCUAGGGGGUCAUCCCGACUUACCAACCCGAUGCAAACUACGAAUACCGAAGAAUGUUAUCACGGGAGACACACGGCGGGUGCUAACGUCCGUCGUGAAGAGGGAAACAACCCAGACCGCCAGCUAAGGUCCCAAAGUCACAGUUAAGUGGGAAACGAUGUGGGAAGGCACAGACAGCCAGGAUGUUGGCUUAGAAGCAGCCAUCAUUUAAAGAAAGCGUAAUAGCUCACUGGUCGAGUCGGCCUGCGCGGAAGAUGUAACGGGGCUAAACUGUGCACCGAAGCUGCGGCAGCGACACUAUGUGUUGUUGGGUAGGGGAGCGUUCUGUAAGCCUGCGAAGGUGGCCUGUGAGGGUUGCUGGAGGUAUCAGAAGUGCGAAUGCUGACAUAAGUAACGAUAAUGCGGGUGAAAAGCCCGCACGCCGGAAGACCAAGGGUUCCUGUCCAACGUUAAUCGGGGCAGGGUGAGUCGACCCCUAAGGCGAGGCCGAAAGGCGUAGUCGAUGGGAAACAGGUUAAUAUUCCUGUACUUGGUGUUACUGCGAAGGGGGGACGGAGAAGGCUAUGUUAGCCGGGCGACGGUUGUCCCGGUUUAAGCAUGUAGGCGGAGGUUCCAGGUAAAUCCGGUACCUUAUUAACGCUGAGGUGUGAUGACGAGGCACUACGGUGCUGAAGUAACAAAUGCCCUGCUUCCAGGAAAAGCCUCUAAGCAUCAGGUAACAUUAAAUCGUACCCCAAACCGACACAGGUGGUCAGGUAGAGAAUACCAAGGCGCUUGAGAGAACUCGGGUGAAGGAACUAGGCAAAAUGGUGCCGUAACUUCGGGAGAAGGCACGCUGAUAUGUAGGUGAAGCCCCUGCGGGUGGAGCUGAAAUCAGUCGAAGAUACCAGCUGGCUGCAACUGUUUAUUAAAAACACAGCACUGUGCAAACACGAAAGUGGACGUAUACGGUGUGACGCCUGCCCGGUGCCGGAAGGUUAAUUGAUGGGGUUAUCCGUAAGGAGAAGCUCUUGAUCGAAGCCCCGGUAAACGGCGGCCGUAACUAUAACGGUCCUAAGGUAGCGAAAUUCCUUGUCGGGUAAGUUCCGACCUGCACGAAUGGCGUAAUGAUGGCCAGGCUGUCUCCACCCGAGACUCAGUGAAAUUGAACUCGCUGUGAAGAUGCAGUGUACCCGCGGCAAGACGGAAAGACCCCGUGAACCUUUACUAUAGCUUGACACUGAACAUUGAGCCUUGAUGUGUAGGAUAGGUGGGAGGCUUUGAAGCGUGGACGCCAGUCUGCGUGGAGCCAACCUUGAAAUACCACCCUUUAAUGUUUGAUGUUCUAACGUUGGCCCCUAAUCGGGGUUGCGGACAGUGUCUGGUGGGUAGUUUGACUGGGGCGGUCUCCUCCCAAAGAGUAACGGAGGAGCACGAAGGUUAGCUAAUCCUGGUCGGACAUCAGGAGGUUAGUGCAAUGGCAUAAGCUAGCUUGACUGCGAGCGUGACGGCGCGAGCAGGUGCGAAAGCAGGUCAUAGUGAUCCGGUGGUUCUGAAUGGAAGGGCCAUCGCUCAACGGAUAAAAGGUACUCCGGGGAUAACAGGCUGAUACCGCCCAAGAGUUCAUAUCGACGGCGGUGUUUGGCACCUCGAUGUCGGCUCAUCACAUCCUGGGGCUGAAGUAGGUCCCAAGGGUAUGGCUGUUCGCCAUUUAAAGUGGUACGCGAGCUGGGUUUAGAACGUCGUGAGACAGUUCGGUCCCUAUCUGCCGUGGGCGCUGGAGAAUUGAGGGGGGCUGCUCCUAGUACGAGAGGACCGGAGUGGACGCAUCACUGGUGUUCGGGUUGUCAUGCCAAUGGCAUUGCCCGGUAGCUAAAUGCGGAAGAGAUAAGUGCUGAAAGCAUCUAAGCACGAAACUUGCCCCGAGAUGAGUUCUCCCUGAGACUUUAAGUCUCCUGAAGGAACGUUAAAGACGAUGACGUUGAUAGGUCGGGUGUGUAAGCGUAGCGAUACGUUGAGCUAACCGAUACUAAUGAACCGUGAGGCUUAACCUUAC
rnacentral:rRNA from 1 species